rnacentral:tRNA from 1 species
GCCGGGUUAUGCGGGCAAGGUCGGCGUGUUGCCCUGGGGUGACAACGUGCACGAAGUACCGUUCGAUGCCGUUGCCGGGCA